GCUCGAAGAACAAGCUCAGCCCGAAUCUCAUUAUUCGACCACGAAGAGAAUAAUUUUAUGAAGCCGGCAGUUAAAUUCUGACCGAGCAGCUGUUUAUGGAACUUAAUUUUCCUCCUGUGGAACAUUAGAGCCACAGAACAAAAGAUGAGAAUGACCACGACGCUCACUGACAGCGAUGUGACGAAGCAUCAUCAACCAGAACCCCACUCUGCUCCUGUCAACGCCAACCAGUCCGAUUCUGCUUCGGUACCGACCAAACUUCAUGACGGACGACGCACUGCAGCGUUCGCACAAUAACACAGUGGAGACGACAGGAAGCUCGCGUGCACGCGCCAACGUGCACGCGCACAGGAGGCACUGAGUUCACUCUGACCUCAGAUAAACCAGACGACAGCGGCGACUUACGACGCACGGAGUCACUGGCAGCGUCCGGCACCGGACGCACGACUUGGGCCCCUGAGCCGAUACCGGCUCUCGGAACAUGCAGCCAGCGACUCCGGCACAAAGUUUGGAGAAGGAGCAGUGAACAGCUGCUCGGCUCAGCAGCCGGUUCCGCAGGACGGAGCGGGCUCACCUGGCAGCAGCGCUCGGCCGUGAAGCUGAGCAUGAGGACGUCCGAACCGGGCGACAGGCGAUCCAAAGUCAGGGCAGAGCCGGUGAGAAGAGAGCGGGCGUCAGCAACCAGCGUCUGGCGGCGCAGCUUCAGCUGAGAGCGGCCAAAAAACGGAAGCGACAAAAAACAAAAACACUGAAACAAAACUCGGAGCAGGCUGGCGGGUGGUAACACGCAACCAAUCACACGCAAAGGUGUAGCGGGCGCCCUCCAAUCCGAGGUGAGGUGGUGCGUGCGCUAUACGUGGCCGCGACGCCAUUGGCUGCAGCCGGGGUGCGUGGCUGUUGGGGGCGUGGCCGCGGAGUCAGCGGUGUCAGAGUAAACCCGGUGAACCCGGCAGCGCGCUCGAAGUGGGGGAAAGGUUGGGAAACAGGCGGGACCGCGACACCCGCGGGGACGCGCGGAACAUAGAUUCACGGACACGAACCAAAACAUACACAAUAUAGUAAUCAAAAUAAUGAAUAAACUAAUCUAGAGCACAAUAACACAGUUGUUUGUGUAAACACACUCGUGUUGAUGUCUGGAUGUUUGCAUCAUAUUUAAUGUAACAUCAUAGUAUGAUUAAAAUACUAAACUGGGGUUGGUAAUGUCAUAACUCCACGUCA